rnacentral:lncRNA from 1 species
ACGCUAUGGUGCUGGACCUUAAUUCUGAUUGCGCCAUCAGGCAUUUCGUCAGUCUUCUGAAGGCCAAAGCUCAGUGGGAUGCAAAUUAAUAAGGCUUUGUUUAGAUGCAAAAUUUUUUUUGAAGUUUGACACUGUAAUAUUUUCGUUUGUAUUUGAUAAACAUUGUCCAACCAUGAACUAACUAGGCUUAAAAGAUUCGUCUCAUGAUUUACAGAUAAUGGGAUUUGGUGAAGAUGCGCAAUGGCGAUGUCAAGGCGAAGAUACGGGCCGGGAGCAUGCAGCAGAGGCAGAUCAUCGAUCUUUGUGUGUGGGCAGGGCAGACGCUCGCCGAUUAGAACAAUGCAUCAUGUGUUUCCGUGAAGAUGUUCGGCGACAACCUCACAUUUAAUUUGACGGCAAUGAGCUUGUUGACGAUGGGAAGACACUUGCUGAGUACAAUGUCCAUCUGGGUUCACUUCCGUUUCUGUACUAGUAUUCAAAUUAUGCUUCUUUCCUGAACUCUACGGAGCCAUGUCCACUUAGUUUGUCUAUAUAUUUGUGUGAAGGACUAAAAUGGCAACUAGAAAGGGGAUGAUGAUGGGCAGGAUGAAUAAAGAGGUUGCUACUAUUACCGAUCAAAUUAUCCCAUCCGUGCUACGUGAUGCUCAAGAUAGACUCUUGCUUCUGAAGAGAUUUAUGCGAGCUGCAGCAGGUGCUUAAACAGCUCAACGAAUAUGCACCGUUUAACGCCAAUCAUUCAGCACCUAAAGAUCUCUUGAGGAUUCUGCGCUUAUUGGAGGAAGCAAAUGCUGUUGUCGGACGCACUUGUCGGUAACAGCAUCACAGGUAAUAAGAGAGAGAAUUGCUGAUGCAUC